ACACGGUGAUGCGCUGGCUCGUGCCCGAGGCGCCCGGGCGCGGCGUGCACAGGAUGACCAACGAGGCCCUGCACAAGGGCUGUUCCCUGAAGGUUCUGGCGGACAACGAGCGCUACACCUGGAUCGUGCUGUGACACCUGGGGACACCUGGGGACACUCCUGGGAACAUCUGGGAACACCUGGAUCCUGCUGUGACACCUGGGGACACCCCUGGGACACCCCUGGGAACAUCUGGGAACACCUGGAUCCUGCUGGGACACCCGGGGACACCUGGGGACAUCCCUGGGACACCCCUGGGAACAUCUGGGAACACCUGGAUCCUGCUGGGACACCUGGGGACAUCCCUGGGGACACCUGGAUCCUGCUGGGACACCCGGGGACACCUGGGGGGGACACCUGGGAACACCUGGAUCCUGCUGUGACACCUGGGGACACCUGGGGACACCCCUGGGAACAUCUGGGAACACCUGGAUCCUGCUGGGACACCCGGGGACACCUGGGGGGGACACCUGGGAACACCUGGAUCCUGCUGUGACACCUGGGGACACCCCUGGGAACAUCUGGAUCCUGCUGUGACACCUGGGGACACACCUGGGACACCCCUGGGGAUACCCAGGGCGUCACCUGGGGACACACCUGGACCCCGCUGUCACACCUGGAUCCUUCUCCACAUGGACACGGACCCAGCCCCGCCCCCUUUGGGGCCUUUCGUUUCCUUUUUUCCCUUUUUUUCCCUUUUUUCCUUUUUUUCAAUGUUUUUCCCUCUCCUUUUGCCGUUCAGUGUUUUACGCUGGCGGUGGGCGGGGGGGAGGAUCUCAAAUCCCCCCUCCCCAAAAUAAAAACUCCCAUUUCCA